GGCCGUUCCCAUGACACAGAGUGAGGAAUGUGCGACACGCAGCACUGUAGCUGUGGAAGCAACUGCCAAGGACACCUGCCAGGUGAUGGGGCAAGAGGAAGAUUACGUUUCAUGGCCUGAGGUGUGAAUCUUGUGAUUGUCGUAUUUCAUCCUCCAUGAGGCUGGGGACACUCGGAACACAGAGAGCCUUCGUGGAGCAGCUUCCAGCUCCCCAGCUCAUUGUCUAGGUGUAACGUCUGGCUGUGGAGCGGAGAGGAAAGAAGGCCCGACUAGGGAAUGCAGCAGAGUGUGCCGGGUAAACACUGGAGGCUGCAGAAUGUUCUGGAUCUCCACUUUGCUAAAAUAGGAGCCAGUCAGGAAAGUGGCAGCUGAAUGGUGCAAAAGUGGAUUUAUUUACAUUAAAUAAUACCCUGCCCACUCCCCGGAACCUGGGAUCUGGCCCCUCCUCUGAGUCAGAACGGGAGACUGCGCUCCGUGCAUCGGUAGAAAUUUACUUUCUACGCUGCUUUGCGGUGUUCGGGAUUUGUGUUGGCUGGGAGCAUAAAUCAUUUUUCAAAACGAAUUUUAGUGGAAAUGUUAUUCUUUCCAAUUAAUUAGGGUUUGGAGGCUGAUGUUAUUUGCGCUCAACAAAAAUAUCCAGUCUGCUCAUGAACUAAAAAUGGUUUAAAACUACGGAAGAAGGUGUCUUCCAGCUGAAGGUGUAUUUGGG
rnacentral:lncRNA from 1 species